AAUAUACUCCCUCCGUCCCAUAUUAAGUGACUCAAAUUUGUCCAAAUAUGAAUGUAUCUAUGCUUAAAAAUCAUCUAGAUACAUGUAAUAGAAAGUCACUUAAUAUGGGAUGGAGGGAGUAGUAG
rfam:Brachypodium distachyon strain Bd21 chromosome 1, whole genome shotgun sequence.